UAAAAAAUACAGAAAAAGAGAUGAACAUUAUUGACAGUGCUGCAGCUGAAACUCAAAACUACUGAGAAAGUACGCCAGAGCUCAGGGAACGGUAUGAGUACCAUACAGACAAGCAGCUGGAAUAUUCAUGCCUGUUCUCCUUUUAUGGGAUCCAGAAGGAAGAUUGGAAAUGUCUACUCUCCUCUUCUUAUUCAUGAUUUUUUAAAAUCGACAAUUCGCUACAUGAUCUAUAAUCCCCCUUAGACAUUUUAUUUCACCUAAACGUUGUGCUUCGUUAAAUUCUAUAUGUCUAUGUGUGAGAGAGAGGGGGAUCAUAUAGUUAGGAAUCGGACUACUAAUGUAAUAGGCUCUGUUUGGGGAUAUACAUUAUUAAUAACAACUCUCAAUAUGUGUUUGAUUUUUUUUCAGUUGCCCGUAUACAAUACGCCACAUCUGGCCUCAUAUGCGUAUUACUGUAGAUUUCAAGCGAGGUAAGGUGAAUCUAAAUCGAAACUGAAAUUUGGAAAACAAAUAUGUCGCACUUCUCUUUCUCGAAGCUGAAAAAUCGGUGAAAUUGGCGUGAAAAAAAUGAGUUCCAAGGAGAAUCCUCCAAAGAAAAACGGAUGCGACAAAGGCAUCGUGAAGAGGUUUAAAAUGAGACUUGACCUCAUAUUUGACUACAAUGGCUUAGUUAAUCAAGGAGCAACCUGUUAUUUGAACAGUGUGCUGCAGGUCCUCUUCAUGACUAAGGACUUCAGAGAGGCUGUGGAAAGUCACUGUGGUCAAGAUCAGAAGACUGUUGAUUUUCACCUGAAAAGCCUUUUCGAGGCGUUAAAGGCAAGUGAAACUCACACAAAGGACAUCUUAUCCAUACUUGGCAUUGGAAAUGUUUACGAGCAACGGGAUGCUGCUGAAUAUUUUGAGAAUAUUUUAAGCAUGGUCAAUCCUUAUGUGUCUCAGAUCUUCAAAGGACAUUUGAGACACACGAUGAGAUGUUCAGAAGGUCAUGUGACCAGUGUUGAAACUGGUCCAUUCUGGACUCUACCACUCUCAAUAGAAAAUCAAUCAGACUCAAACAAAACCUACAAUGUGAGGGAUGGUUUUGAGGAGUUUUUCAAGUCUUCAACUGUCAGUGAGAUGUAUUGCGACCAAUGCAAUAAGAAAACCCGAUCCACCGUUACAUGUAAAAUGGAACAUCACCCAGAGAUUCUGACUCUGCUCCUCAAGAGGUUUGAGUUUGACUACCACAGUAUGUCAUAUACCAAAAAUGACUGCUGUGUUGAAGUUCCUCACACGUUACGGACAAAGACCUUUUCUCUGAACAGAACUGUGACUAUGAACUCUAUGCAGUGGUGGACCAUGUGGGAAGUCUAAGAGGUGGACAUUACACUGCUAGAAUCAAGUCCUAUGAUGAUCACAACUGGUAUGUGUUCGAUGACAGCUACGUCAGACAGCCCAAUCCACAAUCAAUCAGUCAUAUGAAUAAUGAAAGAUCCCAGAGUGUGUAUCUGCUUAUGUACAAGAAAUCACGUGCUCCGGAUCAACCAGGAGAAGAGGAAAUUAAGAAAAGAGGAGGAAUUAAAGUGUAUGGAAGAGGAAUGGAAGAAAAUAGAAGAAUUGAGGAGAAUAAAAGAGGAAUACAAUUAAAGCGGAAUUGAAGAAAAUAAUCAAUGUAGAAUCACAGAGUAUAGCAUUGCAAUUGGAGAGAAUAUAUGUGUAAUUCAAGGCAUGGGUAGACAACAAUGGAAGAGGCAUUGAUGACAUUCCUCAACCAUUCAUGACAAUAAGAGAGACAGUGAAGAUGAUAGAAGAGGAAGAGAAGAGAAUAUACGGAGUUGACGAGUAUAGAAGAGACAUUGAAAUUAAUACAAAAGAAAUUGAAAUGUAUAGAAGAGGAUUUGAAAAGCAUAGAAGAGGAAUUGAAAAGCAUAGAAAAGGAAUCGGAGAUUAUAGAAGAGAAAGUGAAUGGUAUGGAACAGGAAUGAAAUAUAAUAGAAGAGGAAUGGAAGAGUGUAGAAGAGGAAUUGAACAUAUGACGGAGUCUGCUACGUCCCAUCGGGGACGCUAUAAGUCACUUAAAGCUAACUGCCAGUUGAAGUCUCUGGGAAAGUGAUAUCAACAAUGGCAACUAACAGCUUCACUAGCCAGCUAUUCUGCUUAAAGCCUUCAGCAAUAACACAGGUACGCUUGGAACAAAUGAUAUUCUGUUUUAGGUCCCGCUUUAUUUGAAGUGCAUCUUCAUAAAGCAGUCAUGUACUGUAGAAUUUAAAAGUACUAGAUAAAUGGGCCACAAAUCCUCUAUAACUAUAUUUCACGCUCUAGAAAAGAGUAACGAACGUGAACAAAUCAAUGAAUGGUUAUGUCAUACAGCUAUGCCACAUUAUACAUCGUUAUAGAGCAUGAUAUAUGGUUAUAGAUCAUUUGUGAAGAAUCUAUGUAGUGCUUUAUGAAGCCUUCAUAGGAUGCACUUCAAAUAAAGUGGGCCCAGUACCCAGUUUUAUUCAGUGGCCUUGUUGAAAGUUUUUAGACAUAUAGAUACAGUUUUUAGUUUUAGGCUACAAACCCAUUCUGCCUAGUCUGUGUCAUUAGCCAUAUCGACUAAAGAGAACACGUUUGCAUUUUGUAUUUAUUAUAUCUCGUUAGUCAUACAAAUAAUGCCAACAACAGGCAACUUCAAAAGUCCUUUAUCACUUGAUACAUAAAAAAAUAAAAAAUGAGGCUUACCAUGUACAAUGUUUGUUCUGGGGUGUAUUCAUUAGUGCACACCCUAGCAAACCAUUAGCAAUGAUUGCCCACUCAAGGGGAUGUUGGGGGGUGGGGGUAUGUGUAUGAAAGAGAUGAAUGAAUACAGAAUGAAAACAUGUUCUCCUUAGUCGGUAUGGCUAACUAUAGCAGCUCAUAUAAGAUAGAAUUGUGCGUGUAUUAGUAAAGGCCUGCUUUAACUGUU